AGCUAUUGACAAGUUCAAACAAGAUAUAAACAUGAAAAAUCAAGAUAUUUACCUGUGCAGACAAGAUAUUAACACCAAUCUAUGAAUCAUUUAACAUGUGCAUACACAAGAGUCAACAAGAUGUACACAUGCAGGAGUGUGCAAAAUGGAUUACACUUCCAAAUAACUUAAAACAUAACAAAAGGACCAGGUACAUCUGCUAGUGAACAAGUCUCAUAUAAUCUCUAAAGAAUGUUCCUCCUGAGAACACAAAGCUGAGAACUGUGAGGAGAGAAGCUUCCCCUCAGGGCUGAGAGAUGAGCUGUGAGAGUGUACCUGCUCGAGCCUAACUGCAGAGUGGAAGAACAGAUGACGGUACUAAACAAGAUCAUGAAGAGAUUCCUGUAAGUGAUCAGUGGACUCUGAUCUCAGGUCAGGGUCAGAGCUCCAUUCUGCAGAGUCACUGACCAAUAAACAACUCUGCUGCUCUCACUUCCUCUUCAGUACAGAGGAAAUCACAGCGUCCUCUCUCUCUCUGCAAUAAUCACCAUCUUAAUCUUCAUCAUCAUCAGAAGCAUCAUCAUCCUCAGUAGCAGCAGCAGGGUCGGUGUUGUUGAUGGUGGUUGUUGUGUUUUCUGCAGCUGAACGACUCAAUGAGGUCAUGUUGUUGAUCCUGUUGAGCUGAGCUGGAGGGUUGCCCGGUAUCACCUCAACACAUUUCCGAGGGAGGGGAGGAGGGGGGGGAGAGAGAAAGUGAAGCUCAGUGCAGUCACAUUGGGAGUAAAAAGGAUAAGAUCAUUUCUCUGCAGCAGCUGACUUUCCAGGGAAAGCUGAGCUCCACCCUGCUCCGUGUUCUCACUCUGAUCUG